rnacentral:rRNA from 1 species
UACGGGGGGGGCAAGCGUUGUUCGGAAUUACUGGGCGUAAAGGGCUCGUAGGCGGCCAACUAAGUCAGACGUGAAAUCCCUCGGCUUAACCGGGGAACUGCGUCUGAUACUGGAUGGCUUGAGUUUGGGAGAGGGAUGCGGAAUUCCAGGUGUAGCGGUGAAAUGCGUAGAUAUCUGGAGGAACACCGGUGGCGAAGGCGGCAUCCUGGACCACACUGACGCUGAGUGAGCGAAAGCCAGGGGAGCAAAACGG